rnacentral:rRNA from 1 species
CCAAUAGCGUAUAUUAAAGUUGCUGCAGUUAAAAAGCUCGUAGUUGAAUUUCGGGACUAAUAUGUCGGUCGUGCCUCGGUACGUACUGGUAUUUUUGGUUUCUCCCUUCUGACGAACCUUGAUGUCAUUAAUUUGGUGUCUUGGGAAAUCAGGACUGUUACUUUGAAAAAAUUAGAGUGUUUAAAGCAGGCUCACGCUUGAAUACAUUAGCAUGGAAUAAUGAAAUAGGACGUUUGAUUCUAUUUUGUUGGUUUCUAGGAUCGACGUAAUGAUUAAUAGGGAUAGUUGGGGGCAUUAGUAUUCAAUUGUCAGAGGUGAAAUUCUUGGAUUUAUUGAAGACUAACUACUGCGAAAGCAUUUGCCAAGGAUGUUUUCAUCAAUCAAGAACGAAAGUUAGGGGAUCGAAGACGAUCAGAUACCGUCGUAGUCUUAACCAUAAACUAUGCCGACUAGGGAUCGGAUGAUGUUAAUUUUUUAAUGACUCAUUCGGCGCCUUACG